CAACUCAAACACGGCCUCUGGUUUCAGUGGAGCCUCCAAACAGAAACCAGUCGACUAUUUUUACAGAGGAACUAUUUUUAGCUUUUUUCUGCCUGUUUCUGAGGCAGCAGCCGCUCGGCCACACAGACGCUGAGAGGCUGCAGCGCUGAGUAAAUACACAGAACAAUACUCUCAGCGUCCAGCCGAGCCGGACCGACCGGUCUGCGGCCCGACGCCGGCCGCUGAUGACAGGCCACAACUGCACACAUUAUUGGAAUUCUGGGAGAUUACCAGGCAGCGGUGGGGGGGUCGUUUUAAGAUCUCUUAGUGCUGGAAAUGACAGGCUGUCACAGGCCAACGCUCAACCAGAGGCACCCAGGGACCCGACUGGGGGCCAGCACUUACUCACAACCCCCUGAGGGCCAGAGGAGAACUGCUGCAGCAGCCAGGACCAGUUUAAAUCACUGCAUGGACCCAAGAUCUGACACACACACACACACACACACACACACACACACACACACACCCUGAACACACUGAUGGAGGUCUGAAGAAAAGCUCCAGCUGCUCUGAGAGAACAGACCAGGUGAAAUCAGAUUGAGACCAGCUCCUGUGAUGUGUCUGAUUCCUCCACUGCUUCCAGAUAAAACACGUCCUGCUGCCCCAGAUCCUCACUACAGCUCCGUAUGUGGAUUAAACCGCCGCGGAAAAUAGUCCCCAAUAAAGUGACUCUUUCCUCCUGCUUGUUUGAUUUGAACUCCAGUGAUCAGCUGUUUAAGGAAAUGACUGAGACUUUUUAAGAAUUAAACUUUAUUUUAGUGAAGAGGUUUUAAAGAUUUACGUCUUCAGUAGGAACCAAUGAGCUCAAGACAGGAAGUGUUGGACAGUUGGGUCUGAACAUGAAGAGAAUACAGCACCAGGUCAGCAUCAUUUAAACCAAAUCUAACCCUGAAAUAAAAGUGGACGCUCUGGGACCAGGUGUGUGUCCUCAGGUGAGUCCCCAGUUCUUCAGUCACUUCCUGCUGCUCACUGAAGAACAGAGAUGUUGGAGCGAGUCCAGACUGAACAUCAUGAGACUGAGUUCAUGCAGAGCCAGCUGGUCCUCCUCCUCCUCCUCUUCCUCCUCCCCCUCUUCAUCCCUCACCCUGACCUCAGCAACAGAUAUCAUCUUUAUUUACACUGAGACAAGAAGUCACUUAUUCUUGUGGUGCUGACUGAGACGUAGACCACGUGGGCUUCAGGAUUCAGAUGUUCAGUCCACUUAAAACCACAUCACAUGAACACUGCAGAACACUUUAUACCUGCUCUCAUAUUAAAGAAUGAUGCUGGUUUA